rnacentral:rRNA from 1 species
UACAGAGGGGGCAAGCGUUGUUCGGAAUUACUGGGCGUAAAGGGCGCGUAGGCGGCCUGUUAAGUCGAACGUGAAAUCCCCGGGCUCAACCCGGGAACUGCGUCCGAUACUGGCAGGCUUGAAUCCGGGAGAGGGAUGUGGAAUUCCAGGUGUAGCGGUGAAAUGCGUAGAUAUCCGGAGGAACACCGAAGGCGAAGGCAGUGUCCUGGCGCGUAACUGACGCUGAGGUGCGAAAGCCAGGGGAGCGAACGGG